rnacentral:snRNA from 1 species
GUGCUCGCUUCAGCAGCACAUACACUAAAAUUGGAAUGAUACAGAGAAAAUUAGCAUGGCCCCUGUGUGUGCAAAUUUGUGAAGCAUUCCAUAUUUCA